rnacentral:lncRNA from 1 species
CUGCGAUCCAUCCACUUGUAAGAUAAAAUCGACAAUACAAAUUAUCGAAUUUUUAGGUCACAAUUAUAUAGUUGGUCAUAGAUUAACCAAACAGUUGGUCAAAUACCAUCACCACCAACACUACAGCCAACAUCGCCAUGGCCACUUGCAACCACCACCACUAACAUAGUCUAAUAAUUGGUCAUAUGCCACCAAUACCCAAAAAAUAAAAAAUAAAUAAAAAUACAACCAAACACAACCACCAUCGCCAAACCACUAUGCACCACUACCCCAUUUGCAAAAACAUCAAGAAGACCACAAGUAGAAGAAUUGUCAUCGCCAUUUUUACCACCACCACAUCAAAUCCAAUAUCAUAACUUCUUUCACUAAACAAUAGCCACCAACAAUACUACAACACAACAUCACACUGUCGCACCUCCAACCGUGAUUAGCAAAUCUGAAGUUGGACAAGACGUUUUAGAGCUUUGACGUUUAUAGCAUUGCCUGUGAGCGUCGUCACCUUUCGAGAUGGGAAAUUGAGCUCCAUUUGUGAAGGGUCUAUUUGUACAAGUUAGCUGUAAAUUAUAUAGGCAACGAAGGCAGACUAAAAACAGGGGUUUGAGGUUGUUGGCAGUAGGGUGCAAAAUUGGGAAAACUGUAAACUGAAUGGUGGAAGUUAUGAGUGACUCUGGUCGUUUUGAUUGCAGGCAGCGACCAUUAACGUGGUGGUUAUGGUGCCGAUGACUUGGAUAUGUCGUCGAUUGUUGGGUGUUACAGGUUGUGGGUGUCGCUAAUUGGAUCGAACAAUCGACGAGGGUAGUUUUCAUGACAGUAAAGUGUAGAGAGAUAGAUAGAAAGAGAGUAAAGUGAGACAAGGAUGAGAAAUAAUUUGGGUUUUGUAGUGGGGUUGGGAAUUGGAAAACUUAAAUUGCUAUUUAUAUGUAAUUUUCUCAUUGAAUAAUCGCCUUAGGACAAGAUGAAUUCUAUUUAGGGCCUGUGUUUAGCCCCCAUUAUUUUCUAAGAAGCA